rnacentral:lncRNA from 1 species
AUGAAACAAGAAGUGGAUGAGAGUGGAGAUGGGAGGGCAACCAUCCACACUCUGCAACCGGGCAAUGAUGUUCUCUUUGGAUCUCCCAGCUUCUCUGGAAGGGAGGAGGCAGAACAAAAUGAGACAAGCUUCACUUUACAAACAGCAAGACAGAGGUUCAAAGAAAGACUGGCCUUGCUCUCACCGUUUAAUGCAGCAGUCUUGUCUGGGCAUUCCUGUAUUGAAGAAAAUUUUAAGCUUGAAGUGUAUCUUUUUAUUCAUUUCUUUCUAAGUGAUAUAUACUUGUUUCACUGUAAUACAUUAUGUACAUUAUAGAGCAUACACUAAAAAUAGAGAUUUUGUAAGGAUGAGUUUAACAUUCAUUUUCUUCUCACAGAUUAGCAUGUGUUCUCUCUGCUUUGGAAACCACUGAAUUAUUGAGUGGGGUGUGGGAGUAAGGGGGCAGAUCCUUAGGUUCCCUUCAGCAUAUUCAUUUGAUCACUCUGCCUCUCACCAGUUUUCAAAAGUAAAUAACUUUGUUUGUGCAAAGGAGCACAUGCCAGGCACUGCUUAUACUCAGGGUCACUGUAUCAUCUCGCUAGUAUCUCCCUCAGGACAAGACAUUAAACACAAACAUAUGGACUUUCUUUCCUUUUGGCUUGGCAGUAGCUUUCCCAAGGGUACCAGUGGUCAAACACUUCUGGUUGAACUGGAAUUACACUCUCCAGUAUCGUUGCAUGUUGCAGUUAAAUAUCACAGAAGAAAAUAAUCAAGUGAUGGUGAUGAGUUCAGCAUGAAACGUUUUGGUCUCUGUAGCUCCUUGUUGUUCAGUCUCUAAGUCGUUUCUGACUCUUUGAGAUCUCACAGCCUGCAGCAUGCCAGGCUUCCCUCUCCUUUUCUGUUUCCCAGAGUAGCUCCUUGUAAGUGAUCAUAAAUGUGUGGGAUAAACUAGGGCAGAGGUCUCCCCACAACAGAUAUUUGGGAGCAAGCAUUCAUUUUUAAGUUCAAUAAUUCUUUUUGUUUCACUUCAGUUUGUUUUUAUUUGUAUUAAAUUUGAAUUAAAUUAAAAUGGAUUCUUCCUUUUUAAGACAGUAAAUAUAAUAUGACCCAAUGUUAUAAAAACAUCUCUAUCUAUUCUG